rnacentral:rRNA from 1 species
UUAAACUGAAGAGUUUGAUCCUGGCUCAGAUUGAACGCUGGCGGUAUGCUUAACACAUGCAAGUCGAACGGCAGCACGGAGAGUUUACUCUUUGGUGGCGAGUGGCGGACGGGUGAGUAAUGCAUAGGAAUCUACCUUUUAGUCUAG